GGUACAGCCGGUGAAGAGGGCGGGGGAAUACGGAGGGUGCAAGCGUUAGCCGGAUUUAUUGGGUUUAAAGGGUCCGUAGGCGGACUUAUAAGUCAGUGGUGAAAGCCUGUCGCUUAACGAUAGAACUGCCAUUGAUACUGUAAGUCUUGAGUAUAUUUGAGGUAGCUGGAAUAAGUAGUGUAGCGGUGAAAUGCAUAGAUAUUACUUAGAACACCAAUUGCGAAGGCAGGUUACCAAGAUAUAACUGACGCUGAGGGACGAAAGCGUGGGGAGCGAACAGGAUUAGAUACCCUAGUAGUC
rnacentral:rRNA from 1 species